CCACAGAAACGGUAAUAAGUAGUUUUUGGAUUAAAUCCAAGAAUUUCCCGCUCUUCGUGGAUACGGAAGGAAAAAGUCGACACUGAUGUUCCAAUGAAGAAUCUGGAUAAAGCGAUAGAAGAAGAAGGGGAAAAAAAGGUGGCGGCGCACAAGGGCAACGGCACCCCAGUGCAAACAAUGCCAACCAUGCCCAUAUUUGGAAGUGCUGCUGUAGCAGCCUACAAGGAAGUCAGGAGGCUUUCCCCGCUGUUAGACGAGUAGACCGCACCUCAGCAUUUAUGUAUGUUAAAUAAAUUGUAGAAGUUCUCAUUUAUUUGCUUAGCUUGCAUUAGUAUUAUGGACGAUUUCGAUGGUUGCUUGCUGACCGUGGUGGAAAGGAAGAUGUCUCGCCUUCUGGAAGAUGACUCGGUGGGAAUCGUCAGAGAAGGGCACCUUGACCAAGGACGUGGCCGGUGUUGGUCUCAUGUCUUCAUGAGAAACCCUCCCCUUAGUAUGUUAUGUCUUGUAACUUAGUAUGUUAUGUCUUGUAACUUAGUAUGUUAUGUCUUGUAACUUAGUAUGUUAUGUCUUGUAACUUAGAUCCCUCCCUAUUUCAAAUAAAUACAGGAGCAACGGGGGAGAUUGUUUAGAACGUGAUAGGAGAAUGAAAUUUAACAAUCUCCCAUACGUCCUCCUCAUGAGCAAAAAGAAACCAGCGUCUUCAUUCCUUUGUCUAUUUUUUAUAGGUGUUGGGUGAGAUAGAUCGAACAAUGUAUUUGUUAUUGUUGCAAAAGAAAGCCCUGACUAAGUUUAUUUUAUGGAGAGGGAGGAGUAGGCAAGCAGCAGCAAAAAAAAAAAAAAAGGGGAUUGGGUGCAUCCCACACUAAUUUUA